AACGAACGCUGGCGGCAGGCCUAACACAUGCAAGUCGAACGGGCGUAGCAAUACGUCAGUGGCAGACGGGUGAGUAACGCGUGGGAACGUGCCCCAAGGUACGGAACAACUUCGGGAAACUGGAGCUAAUACCGUAUGUGCCCGAAAGGAGAAAGAUUUAUCGCCUUGGGAUCGGCCCGCGUCGGAUUAGCUAGUUGGUAGGGUAACGGCCUACCAAGGCGACGAUCCGUAGCUGGGCUGAGAGGAUGGCCAGCCACACUGGGACUGAGACACGGCCCAGACUCCUACGGGAGGCAGCAGUGGGGAAUAUUGGACAAUGGGCGAAAGCCUGAUCCAGCCAUGCCGCGUGAGUGAUGAAGGCCUUAGGGUUGUAAAGCUCUUUCGCCAGGGACGAUAAUGACGGUACCUGGAUAAGAAGCCCCGGCUAACUUCGUGCCAGCCGCCGCAGUAAAAC
rnacentral:rRNA from 1 species